rnacentral:lncRNA from 10 species
CUGAUUGGGUCAUGUGCUUAGCCCUGAACCAAUCACCAUGGCUGGAGAAUGUGAUGCUCUGAUUGGUCAACCCCAGAGUUUUUGGGACAGUCAGCUGUUCAGAAGCAGGAGGACAAAGGCAGGAGGUCCCCAGAGAAGAACAGAAGAAGCAAGCGUUUACUGAGCACCCACCACCGGACACACCCAGGACGACACCUGGGGAUCCAAGGAAGACUGGGUGAGCAUGGAGGAGAAGACUCAUUGGUGC